GGUAGCAGGCGUAGCAAUACGUGCUGACGAGCGGCGAACGGGUGAGUAAUGCUUCGGAAUCUUCCUCGUAGUGGGGAAUAACCUGGGGAAACUCAGGCUAAUACCGCAUACGAACUACGGUUGAAAGCAGGGGAUCGCAAGACCUUGCGCUAUGAGAUGAGCCGAAGUCGGAUUAGCUAGUUGGUGGGGUAAAGGCCUACCAAGGCGACGAUCCGUAGCUGGUCUGAGAGGACGACCAGCCACACUGGGACUGAGACACGGCCCAGACUCCUACGGGAGGCAGCAGUGGGGAAUAUUGGACAAUGGGGGCAACCCUGAUCCAGCGACGCCGCGUGUGUGAAGAAGGCCUGCGGGUUGUAAAGCACUUUUAGUGGGGACAAAAAGCUACGGAUUAAUACUCUGUGGUCUUGAUUUAACCCANAGAAAAAGCACCGGCUAACUCUGUGCCAGCWGCCGCGGUAUUACAGAGGGUGC
rnacentral:rRNA from 1 species